CUUCUAAUCACCUCGCCUUCGGUGACUAAUUGUUAAUUAUUAUAUAGACAACAACUAGACAUAAGGUAUUCUGUAACCUGAUUGCCAUUGAACUAGCAUGAUAUAUAUGCUAUGUUAUCUCAAGUUGUGUGGAUUGCCAAACCAACCGUCAAAAUAUUGCCAUAUAUAUAUACUUAGGGCCUAACUAAAAGCCUAUAUGAAGUUUAUGAAUGCUGUAUAGCUAGCUGUCUAUAUAAUAAUACAGUUAUAUAUUCGUCGCCUAUAUGAGUUCACAUACGACUCGAAUAUACAGUAUUAAAUAGCCUCCACGAAGUAGAAGACGAAUAUUUAAAACGGGAAUUAAGUAAUCAUGUGUAUAUAGGAG